UACCAGACUCCUACGGGAGGCAGCAGUGGGGAAUCUUGCGCAAUGGGCGGAAGCCUGACGCAGCGACGCCGCGUGCGGGACGAAGGCCUUCGGGUCGUAAACCGCUUUCAGCAGGGACGAGGCCCUCACGGUGACGGUACCUGCAGAAGAAGCCCCGGCUAACUCCGUGCCAGCAGCCGCGGUAAUACGGAGGAUGCGAGCGUUAUCCGGAUUUAUUGGGUUUAAAGGGUGCGUAGGCGGAAGGUUAAGUCAGCGGUAAAAUGUCGGUGCUCAACACCGGCCUGCCGUUGAAACUGGUCUUCUUGAGUGAGCGAGAAGUAUGCGGAAUGCGUGGUGUAGCGGUGAAAUGCAUAGAUAUCACGCAGAACUCCGAUUGCGAAGGCAGCAUACCGGCGCUCAACUGACGCUGAGGCACGAAAGCGUGGGGAUCGAACAGGAUUAGAUACCCGGGUAU
rnacentral:rRNA from 1 species